UACGGAGGGUGCAAGCGUUAAUCGGAAUUACUGGGCGUAAAGCGUGCGUAGGUGGUUUGUUAAGUCCGUUGUGAAAGCCCCGAGCUCAACUUGGGAAUUGCAGUGGAUACUGGCAAGCUGGAGUGCGGUAGAGGAAGGUGGAAUUCCCGGUGUAGCGGUGAAAUGCGUAGAGAUCGGGAGGAACACCGGUGGCGAAGGCGGUUCUCUGGGCCUGUACUGACGCUGAGGAGCGAAAGCGUGGGGAGCGAACAGG
rnacentral:rRNA from 1 species